GUGCAGCCGCCGCGGUAAUACCGGCAGCCCGAGUGAUGGCCGAUCUUGUUGGGCCUAAAGCGUCCGUAGCUGGCUGCGCAAGUCCGUCGGGAAAUCCACUCGCCCAACGAGUGGGCGUCCGACGGAAACUGCACAGCUUGGGACCGGAAGGCUCGAAGGGUACGUUCGGGGUAGGAGUGAAAUCCCGUAAUCCUGGACGGACCGCCGAUGGCGAAAGCACGUCGCGAGAACGGAUCCGACAGUGAGGGACGAAAGCCAGGGUCUCGAACCGGAUUAGAAACCCCAGUAGUCC
rnacentral:rRNA from 1 species